GACGGAGGGGGCAAGCGUUGUCCGGACUCACUGGGCGUAAAGGGCGCGUAGGCGGCCCAUUGCGUCGGUGCUGAAAGCGCGCCGCUUAACGGCGCGAGGCGUGCCGAUACGAAUGGGCUGGAGGUAGGCAGAAGGUGGCGGAAUUCCGGGUGUAGUGGUGAAAUGCGUAGAGAUCCGGAGGAACGCCGGUGGCGCAAGCGGCCACCUGGGCCUGGCCUGACGCUGAGGCGCGACAGCGUGGGGAG
rnacentral:rRNA from 1 species